GUUUUCCACAAGAGCAGGAAGAGCUCUGAACUGCUGAGCUGUCACUCUGGCCCAUCCAAGCCCUGUUUGCCUCUCUUUUGAAGAGCUCAUGUUAUCUAAACUGACUUUGACCUCCUGACCUUCCUGCCUCCAUGUGCAGCAGUCUGGUUUCUGUGCGGAGGGCCAUCCUACCUUCCCCAUUAGACUCCAUUCUUGAAGCUGUGUUGACUGUGUCUCCAAAGAGGCAGUAUCGGGGCAUCUUUAGCCCUACCACACCAGCACACACGGGACCUGGGAGGGGAAAAGAAAGGAACAGAGUCCAGGGAAGUCAGAGGAGCCUCCGGAGGCCUUCCGUGGUCAGACCUGUGUGAAUUCCAAUGCGCAAGCGCAGCUGUUCCUGGGGCCUAUGGCGGAUGCGGAAGGAGCGUACAGCAUCGAGCAGUGCAAGUGCCAUUCGGGCUACCUCUCGGGCAUGGAGCUGUCCAUUCCUCACUGGGAGCCCUGAUACCACCAUCGCCAGGCGGAUCUGUUGAAAGGGUGGCCGCUCCUGAGGAUCCUCUGCCCAGCACCUCUGCAUCAGCUGCCCCAGUUCCUCCAGGUGGCUCUGCAGAUCCAUGGAAGGUCGGAAUGGGGGCUGCUCGCCCCGAGUCACACGCUCAAUGAUCUCUGUGUGGAAGGGGCACG
ensembl:antisense Gm16048 predicted gene 16048